UACGUAGGGGGCAAGCGUUGGUCCGGAUUUAUUGGGCGUAAAGAGCGUGUAGGCGGUUUGGUAGGUCCGCUGUGAAAACUCGAGCUCAACCUCGAGACGCCGGUGGAAACCAUCAGACUAGAGUCCGGAAGAGGAGAGUGGAAUUCCUGGUGUAGCGGUGAAAUGCGCAGAUAUCAGGAAGAACACCCUGGCUAAGGCGGCUCUCUAGUACGGUACUGACGCUGAAGACGC
rnacentral:rRNA from 1 species